rnacentral:lncRNA from 1 species
CCUUGCUGUUCCCAUCUCUUGCCAUCUCCAUCAUCCAGGGCCGGUGGUCCACUUUGAGAUGUCUGUGCUGUCUGCCUCAGGAUGAGGGGCUGACUCUCUGACUUCAAGAUAGGAAUAAAAGGAGGAGGAGUCUGCUACACCCACCAUCAAGUGCGCUCACAGUAUUUACUCAACCAGUGACAAGGAGGGCCAAACAAGAGGAAAAAUCCUAGAACUGCAGCAAGACAGAUGGGAAUCACACUAGAGGAGGGACUUCCCAGGGCAUCUGAGGUAAGGUGUAAAAUCUCUGCCUUCUCCUCCCUAAAUGUCCCCACAACUGAGUCCAGUGCAAUACAGCCUGAAGAUGAUAGAUGGGUGAGAUGGCAUAUGGAAGCCCCAUUGCAGGCCUCUGAUGAUGGGGGUCCUCCUGGCUGAGUAGCUUUUCCCAUUCUGGAAGGGAUGUCCUGAAUGUGCUAGGAGUUGUGAGAGAUGACUGGAAUUCCAGUAACUUUUGGCAGGAUUUACUACUGUAUCUGGAUCUUUGGGAUUGAGAGAGGAGCAAGAAGCUGACACUGCCUACUGCAAGUGGCUAUAAAGCCAUUCUCACGGUCCUGAUGCAAUGCUCAAGAUAAAAAGCAAGCCUGCGGGAAGGAGAGACACUGGCCUGAGUCCAGGUGUCUGAGCAGGAACACCAGCCCCAGACUCCAAAUGAAGCUCC